rnacentral:rRNA from 1 species
AUUGAACGCUGGCGGCAGGCCUAACACAUGCAAGUCGAGCGAGUGGCGGACGGGUGAGUAAUGUGUGGGAAACUGCCCGAUGGAGGGGGAUAACUACUGGAAACGGUAGCUAAUACCGCAUACCAUCAGAUGUGCCCCGAUGGGAUUAGCUAGUAGGUGGGGUAACGGCUCACAUAGGCGACGAUCCCUAGCUGGUCUGAGAGGAUGACCAGCCAUACUGGAACUGAGACACGGUCCCGACUCCUACGUGCGGCAGCAGUGGGGAAUAUUGCACAAUGGGCGAAAGCCUGAUGCAGCCAGGCCGCGUGUGUGAAGAAGGCCUUCGGGUUGUAAAGCACUUUCAGCGGGGAGGCGUUACCCGCAGAAGAAGCACCGGCUAACUCCGUGCCAGCAGCCUCGGUAAUAC